UUUAAUUUUUAGUGUGUGUGUGUGCGCGUGUGUAUACACACAAAAUUUUAUAAUGCAUAAAAUUUAUUCUCCUAAAUACCAUGUAACAUUUUUUACAUGCUUCAAAACUAUACUACUAACUAUAAUUAAAUUUUUAAUGGUUCACAUCAAUAUAACAAAAAAAAUUAAGUAUCCAAGAAAUAUAAAUAAAUUAAAAUUCUACACAUUUACUAACCUUAUUUACUUAAUAAUAUAUUUUUAUCUUUUUUACUUUUAAAUAUUUUAUUACCUUAUUUACAUGUACAAAGUAAA
rnacentral:misc_RNA from 1 species